rnacentral:lncRNA from 1 species
UUUUUUUUUUUUUUUUUUUUUAAGGGCCACAGGGGUGGCAUAUGAAAGUUCCCAGGCUAGGGUUGAAUUGGAGCUACAGAUGCUGGCCUAUGCCACAGGCAUAGCAACACCAGAUCCUUAACCCACUGAGUGGGUCCCACAUCCUCAUGGAUACUAGUCAGGUUUGUUUCUUCUGAGCCACAAUGGGAAGACAAUCAUAGACUUACUCUUGAUGUAAGAUGUACUUACCCACAUCUUCAUGGAUACCAGUCGGGUUUGUUUCUUCUGAGCCACAGUGGGAAGACAAUCAGUAGACUUACUCUUGAUGUAAGAUGUACUUACCCACAUCUUCAUGGAUACCAGUCGGGUUUGUUUCUUCUGAGCCACAGUGGGAAGACAAUCAGUAGACUUACUUUUGAUGUAAGAUGUACUUUGUACAGUGGAUGCUUUGCUGUUUUAAUCAUUUUUGGUUCAAAUCCAAGCCAACCCACAGCCCAACAAAACCCAACCUCUGUCUCCUGACUUGACCCCUGCUGUCCAUUUUCCCACAUCCUUAAAAAAGUGCAACGUGUUCUGCUGUCUUCUUUUCUCUUCACUUCUUGGAUCUCAGCCAAAUCAACCAACUAUGUCCCAUGUAGCAAUGCUUACAGGGUAGCCUAGUGUUCCUGAGGAUAGGAUGGAGAGAAUGUGACUGUCCAUUGCUAGGACCAUGAAGUGUCCUUCUGCUCAAGGUAUGCUUGGUGGGAUGAGGAGACUCUACAGGAGUAUGUCUGGAUCCUGAAAAAUGUAGGAAGGCAAAUGUAGAGCCUUGAGGUGGGAUGAUCUGGGCACUGGGGGUGUCAUAUUCGUUCCAUACCCACCCCCUUAACUUCCAGAGGAAAAAACCAUUUGUAACUGUGAGAAACAUGACAGCCUCAUCCAAAGUCCAUGCAAGUAUUUGUUCAUUCCAUAAAUAUUUGUUGAGAGCUUACUAAAGCAGUAAAGUUAAUCACACAUAGUGUGUGCUGCCAUCGUGCCAGGUGGCAUGUGGAAAUCUUCACAUCUAUCAUUGUAUUUAACCCUUACAAUACACCAUGAAGUGCAUUGCUAUUUUGCAGGUGAGGAAAUUGAGGUGCAGAGAGGAAGAGGAAGAUGUCUGAGGUUGCACAUCUUGAAAGUGGAAGCUGGGUUUGCAAACAUGUCCUCUGACCCUAGAGGUUCCCCCCACCUGUAUUUAAUGACCACAUUCUAUUACUAAAGGCCCCACACUGAAGAUACUGAAGAGUGUAAAACAGAUGUCUGCCUGAUAUUAAGAUGGUCAACUGUCCCGGUUAGUGUGGGGCGGUCCCAGUAUCAGCGUUGAAGUCAUAGCCUAGGGCAUCCCUCAGCAUCAGACAAACCGAGACAGUUGGUUGUCAAUACUGCUAAUGCAGAUCUGUUUCUCCUUUGGGCAUGGAGAGGCUUAUCACAACUGUGCCCAAGGGAUUGAUGCCUCCUUGAUAUGUUAGUUCUAUUAAGCAGUACUGAAGGGGCCAAUGGUGUGGACUCCCCAAGAUGCUUCAGAGUGAACUUUUCAGCCCUUCUAGGUGCCCAUGAGGACGUAAACAGAACAAGGGAACGUGGCUCCAGGGCUGAGAAAUCUGAGCACAGAGAGGAGUCAGGGGAGUGUUUUCUAUGCACUCCUAAUUUCCCUCUCUCCCUCUUUUAGGGCCUGUUACCCACUUCUUUGUCUAUUUGAAUCUUUCUUUUAGGCAGAGAUUUCACUGCUUAAUAGUUGACUCUCCAAUGAGAUAGGUGCAUCCUGCUAUAGUCUUCUUACCAUGUACAGAUACAAGUUCAUUAAAGGAAACUGACUUUGAUUAAUUUUCUUCAAGAAUGUCCUUUAGUGCAGAAAAGAAUCAAAUACUUCUCUUCUUGUCUAGCAGCUAUUCUGGCUGCCACGUGUAAUGGGCGCAGGUUUAGACUGAUGGAAGCCUUGGAUUUUACAUCUGUUUUGCAUCUGUUCUUCUCUUUCCUGUCAUCAUCACAUGCAUUCUAAUUGCGCCUUAUUUAUAGUUCGAGGUGCUCCCUAUUAGACUAUAAACUCCUCGAGGGUAGAGACCACGUUGGUUUUAUUUUUCACUAUUUUUUAAUUACACAUUCAGCACGUGGUAUGGCAUAUGGUAUUCACUCAGUGAAUAUUUCUUGAAUGAGUGAAUGAAUUCCGUAUCGGAGCAACAAUAACAUUCAAUUCAAGUUCAACUUUUCAGGCUUCACCUUGCAAAAAGUAAGACAGGAAGAAUUGACAAAGUUUUGUGUGUGAUCCUAGGUUGGGAUCUACAGACUCGUCCACUGUGUACAAAACAGCUAACAUUUAUCCAGUGUAUGUUAUGCACCGAGCAUGUGUAUGUAGUAACAUAUACACACGCUCAUCUAGUUCUUACUUGAUUUCAUGAAAGAUAAAACAAAUUCAAAAAGCGAUUAAAUAACUUGGCAAAUAUUAAGUAAUAAGUGAUCUAAACUUAUCACUAACCAGAACUUCACUUAGGAAACCUGACUCUGGUUUUUAACCACUGUGGAGAGCUGUCCUUUCUACAUACCUUGCGCUCUCCCUCCCUCUCGCUCUCUCUCUCCCUCUAACCCCUUUGCCCCCUUCUUCCUCUCUCUCAUACCUUGUGGUUGACAUUCUGAGUGUUGCCCAGCAAUCUGACCCUGGGUCAUGCACCAUAUUCCUUAGAAAGCCAUUGAUCAAAAUUCAGGGGUCAGAAGAUAGCCUCUUUCAUCCCCAAAGGGGCUCUUUACAUAUGCUUUUAUUAUCUAAUUUGUUAUUCUCUCAUUAAAGGGAAGUAUAUUUUCGGCCCAAAUAAAAUUUACCUUGGCACUUGUAUAUUCCAUAUCAGUCUCUUAGGAAAUAAAUGUUGUGCUACCAUGGAAAGCAUUCCAAAGGCAUAGAUUUGUUGACAGUUGCAGAACUAUGGAAUUUGGAACCCUUCAAAAAUGGGAAGGAAAAUAAGGCUGCUUAGAUGGGAUUAUUGUCAAGGACCAUGUGAUUAGGACUUCAAAUUCAAACUACAUUAAAUCUAAAUACAGAAUUGUGAUGGAGAGAUCAAAGGAUGUAUUAGUUGAAAGAGUGCUCAGGUGGCCACUCUUGCGUAAGUCUUUUCUAGCUUCACUGAGCCAAUGUCCCACUUUUCUGUGGAGCUGAUGAUGUGUCCUGGCCUUGGAGUUACAGGUUCCCCUAGUGACCCUGUGCCUGAUGCUGCCCCAAGUUCCUGACCCAUAGAGCAUAUCUCGAACUUGUCUCUUCCAGCCAUCAUAAAAAGCCCAAGUAACACAGCUAUGCACUAAGUGAUGGACAUACACUAUAAACAAAUUAUAGUUUUGAAGGCCAUGGCAGGACUUCUAGAGAUGGAAUGAGGGGCAAUUCCCUGUGAUGAGUUUUACACAAUAGCUGACAGUUUCAUAGAUUCUUUGCACCUUGGGGAUACUGUAGUUUUGGGGGAAAAUAACUGUGAGGAAAUAAGAGCAACUGUACCACAUACUAAAUUUUGGCUCUGAUGCUGUAAUAACAACAAAAGUCAGCAAAGAGUGGGCAAGGCAAAAUCCUCUAUAGGAAACACUGAAAGUUUAAUUACUGGUAUUUACUUGUACUUUUCUGAAUAUUACCCAUUUUCGUAAAUAGGUGAAAGUACUCGGUGAUGCUUUGCUUUCCACAGAUGAAAUAUUUCUUAAAAUGGUGGAAUGAAGAAUCCAUGAAAAUCAGUCAACCCCAAAACUUCCCCAAAUCUUCAAAAAUCUGUUCAACCUCAUCCAGCACUAAUUGCUGUAAACUUACAGUUAAGGGAAGCAACAUUUAAACACACUGAUAAUUUAGUGAACCGACUCUUUGUUUAAUUGAUUUUUCAGCAAAAUGCUUUUUUCAACAUGAGCCCCGUUCCCCAAAGGCCUCCUUUUCCCAGCUGCCAUCUGAAGCAUAUCCUGUAUCACAAAUGGAUAUCCAGUGGGAACUCCUGAAAUUGUCUGGGAUUGCCAACCCCAGGAGAGGUGGAGAUGGCUCCCCUCUUAGCCAUGCUGACAAUCAUCCUCUCCUGAUGUGCCCUAUUAAGGAGGGAUGUGAGCUUUCUUUUCCCUAAGGUUUCCAGCAACUUUUUGCUCUUUCCUUGCCUGUUCUUAGAACCUUGGAUGCCUUUUCUUUUCCCCAAACCUGGCCUCAUUUGUUAUAUUCUCUCACAGUCUAGUUCUCAAUUAAUUUCUCCACACUGUCUCCCUCUCCUCAGCCUGUAACCAUGCACACCACACAUGCAUUCCUUGGCACUCAGUUCCCCCAGCUACCCUUCCCACUACUUGCUGUUGUCUCAUCUUCACUAUUCUACUUCUUAUUAAAUUCCAAACCAAUAAUAUUCGGCUUUCAAGUAUUAUUUCAGUUCCCACUGAAAAUGUUCUCAAAACUUUCAGUGAUUUCUGGAGUUCCCAUUGUGGCUAAGCAGAUUAAGAACCCAACAUAAUGUUGGGUGAUGAUGAGCGGUUCAAUCCCUGGCCUCACUCAGUGGGUUAAGGAUCCAGUGUUGCCACAAGCUGCUCUGUAGGUUGAAGAUGUGGCUAGGGUCCAGCGUUGCGGUGGCAUAGGCCUCAGCUGCAGCUCUUGAUUCCACCCCUAGCCUGGAAACUUCCAUCUGCUGCAGAUGCGGCCAUAAAAAGAAAAAGAUUAUCAAUGGUUUCUUAAUUUCUAAAUUUGUGACCUUUUAUUGGUCAGUGUCCCUAAAAGCUUCUACCAACACCAUUCUCUCAUAGUUCUUUUACUUCUGUUUGGCUCUCUCUUUUUAGUCUCUUUUGCUGGAUGUUCCUCCACAAUUUUCUUCAAGUAGAGUUCUACACAAGUGUUAAUGGAAUUAUUGUUAUCAGCUGAUCAAUGCUUUCAUUCAGAAAAGGGAUAGGAGGUUUGCUUUUUAUAUCAAGACUGAUCCACACAUAGGUCAAGUGGAAGGAAAAAGUCCCUUUGAAUUCUACUUUGAACCCUUUUCCUGGCUCCUAGCUACUCUAGUGGCAGUGGAAAAGUAAGCAGAAGUGAUGUGAUGUUGCAAUAGCAUCAGAGACACUUUGUAUCUUGAGAUCACAAAGAAGUCAUGGGAUUCUAAGCCUGAUUCUGGAGAAUAAAUCUAGUGCAAGGUGGUCAGUGAACAUGGGGAUAUGAGAGGGCAGCAGUCAGAUUCCUGGAUUUUGGAGUGCUAUGGGAUGAAUUGCACCCCACCCCCAAAUUCAUAUGUUGAUGUCCUGACCCCAUUUCCUCAGAAUGUCACUAUAUUUGGAGAUAGUUUUUAAAGAGGUAAUUGAAUUAACACAGGGCUGUUAGGGUGGAGUCCUAAGCCAAUAGGAUCAGUGUCCUUAUCAGAAGAGGAGGAGACACUAGGGGGUGUGUGUCGAGGGACAUCCCUAUGCAGAGGCUAUAAGAGGGUGGCCAUCUGCAGGUCAUAGAGACCUCAGGAGAAACCAGAUCUGCAUUGUAGGUCAAAGAUGUGGCUGGGAUCCACCUUGCUCUUAGACUUGUAGCAUCCAGCACUAUAAGGAGAUCAGUUUCUGUUCUUUAAGCCACCCAGUCUGUGGUGUCUUGUUAUAGCAAUGUGCACAGACUAAUUAACAUGGAGGUAGCUAAAUUCCUGGAUAAUCAGUUUGGAACCUCAUAGCUGAGAAGCUUACUGGUAAAGGGGAUUGUGCUGUAUGAAAGGGAUCUGUGUGGGGUAAAAAAAAAAAAAACAAAACUUUCUCAUGAAUAUUUCCCCCCCAGUCAGGAAUUUGGAAUUUUCUACUAUUUCCAGAAGAAGAGGGAAGUAAUCCCCCUCAAUAUGCUAUUUGCUUCCUUAGUUGGAGCCACUCAUUCUGUAUUACCUUCACCUAAAGAGAAUUCUUUGUGACAGUGAUCCAGCAAACUUCAACAUUUGUCUCAGCAAAGAGCUAAAAAGCAAGACAGAACAAAACGGGAAAAAACCCUGAUGUUUAAAGAGCUCACAUCCCUUAUUCCAGAAAAAAAAAAACAAAAAAACAAAACGCAAUUCAGACAAGUUUCCUGCAUCAAGAUUUGUGCUAUCUUUAACAGAAUAUAUACCAAAAUUGGAAUAGGGUUUUAAAUUGGUUUCCUGACAAAGGCUAUAAAUUUUCCUAGGUGACUCAAAUUAUUCAUGAGAAAGGGGAGAUCUUGAUUUAUGCACUAGUUUUGUGUAAAUUUCAUUUUUGUAAAGUAAAUCACUUUUUCCAUUGACUCACAUUACAAUUUGAGAUAUGCUUUAUCUUCUUUUCUGAGUAAUCUUCAAUUGACAGAGGCUCUUUGCUCAUUCAUGCAAGCUUUUAAUGACCUAAAUGCACACACUUAAAUGAAGCAUAGCCAUUUAUAGAAGCUGCAAGGGAACUUUGUAUUCAUCCAACACACACAACACAUACUGACCAAAGGCCAGCUGUAUCACAGGGAUUGUGACUUCAAAGACAUGAACUCCCUGGCUUCAAGACGCUUACCAUCUUGGGUAGAUUGAAAAAUUGCUUUGAGAAGCAAAUAAUCUGCCUCCACAAUUUGAAUGCCCUGUGAUAUUCAUAUGAUGGUUCUUAAAAUUGCAUUGUAUCACACUGUAAAGAAUUUUGUCAUUUGUUCAUAUCUGAUCUAGUGCAUAUCAGUAAAGUCGAUGUUAUGUGUGUCACUGACAUUCCCAUGACCAUUUUAUUGCUUUGGGAGGUCAGGGAUCCUUAACUUCGAAACCACAAUGCUUUUUUUUUAAAAUUUAAUUUAAUUAAUUUUUUUAUUACUCAAUGAGUUUGUUACAUUUAUAGUUGUAC